GCAACCCCAGGUCAGGCGGGGCCACCCGCUGAGUU
rnacentral:rRNA from 2 species